rnacentral:rRNA from 1 species
AUUGAACGCUGGCGGCAUGCCUAACACAUGCAAGUCGAACGGAAACGAUGGGAGCUUGCUCCCAGGCGUCGAGUGGCGGACGGGUGAGUAACACAUAGGAAUCUGCCCAGUAGCGGGGGACAACUUGGGGAAACUCAAGCUAAUACCGCAUACGCCCUACGGGGGAAAGCGGGGGACCUUCGGGCCUCGCACUAUUGGAUGAGCCUAUGUCAGAUUAGCUUGUUGGUGGGGUAAUGGCCUACCAAGGCGACGAUCUGUAGCUGGUCUGAGAGGACGAUCAGCCACACUGGGACUGAGACACGGCCCAGACUCCUACGGGAGGCAGCAGUGGGGAAUAUUGCACAAUGGGCGAAAGCCUGAUGCAGCAAUGCCGCGUGUGUGAAGAAGGCCUGCGGGUUGUAAAGCACUUUCAGUGGGGAGGAAACAGUUGCGGGUUAAUAUCCCGCGACCUUGACGUUACCCACAGAAGAAGCACCGGCUAACUCUG